UACAGAGGUCCCAAGCGUUGUUCGGAUUCAUUGGGCGUAAAGGGUGCGUAGGCGGCGCGGUAAGUCGGGUGUGAAAUCUCGGAGCUUAACUUCGAAACUGCAUUCGAUACUGCCGUGCUUGAGGACUGGAGAGGAGACUGGAAUUUACGGUGUAGCGGUGAAAUGCGUAGAUAUCGGAAGGAACAUCAGUGGCGAAAGCGGCUUCCUGGACCAGUACCGACGUUCAGGCACGAAAGCGUGGGGAGCAAACAGG
rnacentral:rRNA from 1 species